rnacentral:lncRNA from 1 species
CUGUGUUGCCGAGAUAGCAAUGAACGUCUGACUGUUGACUGUUGUCUAGGUUGUAUUCAGUCAGUGGAGCUCCUGUGUUUUCUGUUACCAAGAUAAACAAGCAAAACUCCAGAAAAGUACCUGAACACACCUCAUUUCCAGAACACCACGCCCAUCAGUUCUCCACAGUUAUGAUAUAAUAACACUGUUAUAUUUUUACACACAGAUCAAUAAAAAUGAAGAAAAAGAUCCUCGUGUGGAGCAUCUUCUUGUGCAUGUGGAUCACCUGUGCAGAUUCACCAUCCUGCAAAAACAUCUCCGCCCACGUCGGCUCCACCGCACGACUACCAUGUGACUGCAGCACGUCAGCCAAUCAGAAGCCAGUAUUUAGAUGGCGUUUAAAUUCUAUAUUUGUGAUUGAGAGUGACGGGACGUCCACAGCAGCAGGUUCUGGAUAUGAGGAGCGUGUGGAGGUUUCUAAAGAGGAUCUGCAGGGUGGAGACUGUUCUCUGCUGUUGAAGAAUAUAAAAGCUGCUGAUUCUGGAGCUUAUCAAUGCAAUAAAAUCGGGAAUAAAAGAGAGACAGUGCUGCAGAGAAUAUGUCUCUCUGUUGAAGGUAACUUGAGUAAAAAUCGCAGUUUAAACACUAGAUUUGUUUUUUAUUAUUUUAAACAAAAUCAUUACGUUUGGAAAGUUUAUUUCCGUGGCUGUUUGCAGGAGCAGAAACGUUUUACAGCUGAUCAUAA